AUUGAACGCUGGCGGCAGGCCUAACACAUGCAAGUCGAGCGGAUGAAGGGAGCUUGCUCCUGGAUUCAGCGGCGGACGGGUGAGUAAUGCCUAGGAAUCUGCCUGGUAGUGGGGGAUAACGUCCGGAAACGGGCGCUAAUACCGCAUACGUCCUGAGGGAGAAAGUGGGGGAUCUUCGGACCUCACGCUAUCAGAUGAGCCUAGGUCGGAGUAGCUAGUUGGUGGGGUAAAGGGCUACCAAGCCGACGAUCCGUAACUGGUCUGAGAGGUUGAUAGGUCACACUAGAGCUGGACCACGCUCCAUAGUCCUGCGAGAGGGAGCAGAGUGGAAUAUGAGACAGUAGGCGAGAACAUGAUACAGCGGUGCGGCGUGUGUGACGGAAACGUCGCGAUUGUGAAGCACGUUAAGUUGGGAGAAAGGGCAGUAGGUUAUUACCUUGCUGGUUUGACGUUAACAACAGAAUAAGCACCGGCUAACUUCGUG
rnacentral:rRNA from 1 species